UCUGGGUCCUGAGAUAUCACCCACAGCCACACCCUCCCCUACAGAAGUCCUGACAGCACAGGCCCUCACCAUGGACUGGUGCUGGAGAGUACUCUUCCUGGUGGCAGUCACUACAGGUGUCCACUCUGAAGUGCAGCUAUUUCAGUCUGGGGCUGAGGUGAGGAAGCCUGGGGCCUCAGUGAAAAUCUCCUGCAAGGCUUCUGGAUACACCUUCACGAGCUACUGGAUGCAGUGGGUGCGACAGGCCCCAGGGUAUAGACUUGAGUGGAUUGGAGAGAUUAAUUGUAACAAUGGUAAUACAAACUAUGCACAGAAUAUUAAGGGCAGAGUCACCAUGACUGCAGACAAGUCCAUGAGCACAGCUUACAUGGAACUGAACAACCUGAAAACUGAGGACACAGCUGUGUAUUACUGUUCCAGAGACACAGUGAAAAGAACAGAGAAUGAGCCCAGACACAAACCUCCCUGUG